UCCCCCCGCGGAGUGCGCGCGCCGCGAGGCGGGCCGGGGCGUGUCCUCGGGGGUAUAUAGGAGGCCGGAGGGGAAGGGGUCUACACUCCGCCGCCGCCGCCCCUGUCUACCGCAGCUUCUAUGCAAUCUCCGGCUGUCGCCGCUCCCCCUUGCGUCGAGUCCGCGCCGGCCUCCACGACGAGGAUGGAAGAGGAAUUGGCAGCUCCUUCCACAUCCACAGACAAGACAGACAGUAUGGAUGUGGAUGGAGAAUCAAAGAAACUAUUGGGUUUAGGACAGAAACACUUGGUAAUGGGAAAUAUUCCGGCUGCUGUUAAUGCAUUCCAGGAAGCUGCGAGCUUACUGGGUAAGAAAUACGGUGAGACAGCGGAUGAGUGUGCGGAAGCUUUUUUUUACUAUGGGAAAUCUCUUCUGGAGUUGGCAAGAAUGGAAAAUGGCGUGCUGGGAAAUGCCUUAGAAGGGGUGCAGGUUGAAGAGGAAGGAGAAAAAGCUGAAGAUGAUUCUGCAUUACCAGCUGCUGAUGAAGAAGCAAGGAAGGACUUGAGAGAACAGGUAUAUAACGCUAUGGGUGAAAAAGAAGAGGCCAAAAAGUCAACAGGAGAGUCUCCAGUGGUAUCUGAGAAGGAAAACAUAGAGAAGGAUGUUGAAGUGAAAGAUAUCGUGGAAGAAAAAACAGAAGAAGGAAGUGCUGACAAGGAUGUAAAGCCUGAAGAGGCUGAAGAGAAAAUGGAGGUUUCUGUGGAAAAAGAAGUAGCUUCAGAAGAGCAGAAGCAGCAGGAAGCUAUGGAGAAGGAGGCCACAAAAGAGGAGGCAGCUGCAGAAGAGAAGGUAGUGGAAAAAGAGCAGAAGGUGAUGUCUGAAGACAAGGUAGCAGAGGCAACUGAGGAGAUGGAGAGCACAACAGAAGUGAUGGAUGAGGAGGCAAAGGCAGCUGUGGAAGACGCUGGAGCUGGAAGAGUGGCUGUGGAAAAGAAGGGAGAGCAGGCAGCAGAAGCAACAGAAAAAAAGCCUGCUGUGGAGAAGGGAGAGGCUGUAGAAGGGCAGGCAGAGACAGCUGUGGAUGAGAAGGCAGUAGCACAAGUGACAGCAGAAGCACAGGCAGCAGUUUCUGUGGAGAAGGACACUGCAGAAAGGGAACCAGAGGCAGCUGAACAGAAGAAGGUGGAGGAGAAGCAAGAGCCAGUAGAGACCACUACGGAAGAGAAGCCAGAUGAAUCUAAAGAGACAGAGUCCUCAAAGGAGCCUGUGCCCACAGAGGGUAAAGAGCUGUCUAAGGACCUGGAAGAAAAGGCUGAAGUAGCUGCUAAGGUAGAGAAAGAGGAACAGAAAGAUGACCUGAUGGAAGAGGGUGAAGGUGCUAAGGUAGAGAAAGAAGAGAAAGAUGACCUCAUGCAAGAGGGAGAAGAAACAGAAGAAUCUGAAGAAGAAGAUAAAGAAAAUGAUAAAGCUGAAGAUGAUAAGGAGAAUGAAUUGACAGUGGAAGACAAGUCUUUACAGGAGAGUGAGGAGGAUGAAAUUGGAAAUCUUGAGCUGGCCUGGGACAUGUUGGAGUUAGCAAAAGUCAUCUACAAGAGACAAGAAACAAAAGAAGCUCAGCUCCAUGCAGCUCAAGCUCAUCUGAAGCUAGGAGAAGUUAGCAUUGAAUCUGAAAACUACACACAGGCUAUAGAAGAGUUCCAGGCCUGCCUUGCCCUGCAGCAGAAGUACCUGGAGGCUCAUGACCGCCUGCUUGCUGAGAGCCACUACCAGCUGGCUCUGGCAUAUCACUACAACAGCCAGUUCGAUGAGGCCGUUCUGCAGUUUGGCAAAUCUGUGGAGGUCAUUGACAAGAGGCUGGCAAUGCUUACUGAGCGGAUAAAGAAGGCAGAAGGUGGGUGUCCUGAAGAUGAGAAAGAGAUUGAAGAACUGAAGGGACUGCUUCCUGAAAUCAGAGAAAAGAUAGAAGAUUCAAAGGAGUCUCAAAAGAGUGCAAGAGUAGCUGAGUUGGCACUGAAAGCAACUCUGGUUGGAACUACAUCUGGCUUUGCACAAAGUGAAGACAGCGGCUCUGUUUCCACAAUUCCGGUAAGAAAAGCAGCUGAUGGUGCAUCUCAGUGUGUUACAGACAUCUCUCACCUAGUCAGGAAAAAGAGGAAACCAGAGGAGGAGACUCACCAGGGAGACAAUGAAGCUAAGAAAUCUAAACCAGAGCCGGCUGUCAAUGGUGGUGGUGGUGGUACUGUCCCCAGUGGAAAUGAGGUUGCAGAAAAAAUGGAAGAGGAGGUGGGCAGCUGAGGCAGGACCCUGCCCUGGGCUUUGGUUUCCUUUUUUCCUCCCUCCUCUGUUCAGACAGAGAAAAGGCCACAGGCAGAAUCAGGGGCUGCAGUUGAAAGCACAGUAUGAUAAUUCUUUAACCUUGGACACUCCUCUCCUUACAAGGAAAAUGGUUUUGUAUAUAGUGUAUUUUUUCACUUUUUGGCAACUUUUGUAUGACUUCAAUAAAGAUUGUAAGCAAA